AUUGAACGCUGGCGGCAUGCCUUACACAUGCAAGUCGAACGGUAACAGGGAGCUUGCUCCGCUGACGAGUGGCGAACGGGUGAGUAAUGUAUCGGAACGUACCUUUUAGUGGGGGAUAACGUAGCGAAAGUUACGCUAAUACCGCAUAUUCUCUGAGGAGGAAGGCGGGGGACCGUAAGGCCUCGCGCGAUCGGAGCGGCCGAUGUCAGAUUAGGGAGUUGGUGGGGUAAAGGCUCACCAAGCCGACGAUCUGUAGCUGGUCUGAGAGGACGACCAGCCACACUGGGACUGAGACACGGCCCAGACUCCUACGGGAGGCAGCAGUGGGGAAUUCUGGACAAUGGGCGCAAGCCUGAUCCAGCAAUGCCGCGUGCAGGAAGAAGGCCUUCGGGUUGUAAACUGCUUUUGUACGGAGCGAAAAGGCUCUCUCUAAUACAGGGGGCUCAUGACGGUACCGUAAGAAUAAGCACCGGCUAACUCCGUGCCAGCAGCCGCCGUAACAC
rnacentral:rRNA from 1 species